CAGUACCGCGGUAAUACGAAGGGUGCAAGCGUUACUCGGAAUUACUGGGCGUAAAGCGUGCGUAGGUGGUGGUUUAAGUCCGUUGUGAAAGCCCUGGGCUCAACCUGGGAAUUGCAGUGGAUACUGGGUCACUAGAGUGUGGUAGAGGAUAGUGGAAUUUCCGGUGUAGCAGUGAAAUGCGUAGAGAUCGGAAGGAACAUCUGUGGCGAAGGCGACUAUCUGGGCCAACACUGACACUGAGGCACGAAAGCGUGGGGAGCAAACAGGAUUAGAUACCCCCGUAGUCCCUGUCUCUUAUACA
rnacentral:rRNA from 1 species